UGGGCUGUUGGUUAAGAUUGCCUUUUGCUCUUAGUGAAGUGUCAACAUCAAGGGAGCUGAGUUCCUGGGGCAAGGUCACUCUGCCUGUUUCAAUGAACUGUCAGUGGGCUAUCCUCUUUCUCUCUUCCUGGUGGAUGCCAAUUGUCAUGUUGCAGGAUCGUUCCAUGUCAUGGAAUCGCUCUGUGCAGAUGUCCAGGUAACAAGAGACCUAAACCAGCCAACAGUUCUGAAAGUGAGUUUAAAAGUGGACAAUUUCCCUCCAGUGGAGCUUUUAGAUGUGUCCAUAGCCCCUGCCAACACUAUAACUAUAAAACUGUAACAGACUUUGAGCCAGAGGGAACCAAGGGACACCUGGAUUCCUCACCCUCAGAAACUGGGAUAAUAAGUGUUUGCUUUCUUAAACCAUUAAAAGAGCAAAGACAACAGUUGGUGGAAAAUCUCUCAUGUUACCCGGUGAGAUCAGUAGCUUUCUGAAUAGUUGUAAGUGUGGGAAAAUACUACAACUAAAGGAAAGUAGCGAUAUGUGGUAUAACAUCAAAUGAAAUGUAAGAGCUGCUUGAAACAACUCAUUGCAAAAUAUGAGAGGUCUGUGGAUCUCUGCCUCCAGCUGGAAGAAUCACUUGAGGAAAAAUGUGACAAAGAAAAACUAUGUUUUCUGCUCCUUUUCUGCUCAACGAGUUCAAAACUGAAGCAAAGCCAUUCUUAGGAGAGGAUUCAAUCAGGGAACAUGUCAAAGGUGCUUGGAUGUAAUCCCCUAUGCCCACCAUUCUUUCUUCAGGAAAAGUCUUUUAUGGAUGAUACAGAUUUGAGGCAAGGAGGCUGGGG